ACUCUUUGGUCUAAAUUUUAAGUCUAGCGGGCCUGCCAAAGGUCAACCAUCUAACGCCAGCAUAAUUUGUCUAUAAAUAUAGUUCUGGGUUGCGAAGUUUGCAACCAUUUAUCAUCGUGGCAGUUUUUCUUUCACAGGCUUCUUUAGUAUGUUUUUACUCUCAAUCCUUCCCCUGAGAAAUAAAUUGAAGGAGUUUUAGUAUCAAAUAUUGCAAGAAAAAGAAAGUGAAAGAUCUGGGAGCUUUUAAUUUUUCUAUCAUUUUAUUUGUUUAUUUAUUUUAGCUAUGUAUCUCCUCUCCUUUUUCCCUCUGUAUCCUACAUUGAUGAAGCUUUGGUUUCUGCAGGUGACAAGGCAAAACUGUUUCCGCUUUACUGUCUCUAUUCUUAAUAUUUCAAAUUGUUGUUUGAACGAUGUGAAGGCAGGGCUUGGACCAAAAUCCUUAAAACUUGGACAAAUUACAUAAGCAUGUCUCCUAUAUUAUCUAUUUGACUGUAUAAUCUCCUUAAUCUUCUCUUGUACUCGCAGGCUUCUUCGUAUACUUUGUAGGUUUAAUUGUUUAUCUAAUUGUUAUUUCUUUAAUUGGUGUUGUUAUGGUGUUUUCCAUUACCGACCCGUAACUUGGCUGAGAUCGACUUGAUCCAGUAGUGAUAGCCUAUAUAAUUUGCUAACAUAAGUUUGCAUCAUUAUGCAAGUGAACCAAUAUUUAGGAAAUUCGUGUUAUUCUUAGAAUAAAAUACGUUUUAACUUGCAUGAUGCCUACUUAACACGUCACAUCAAAAAAUCUUAUGAAAAUGAGUCUCCUUGGAAGGUAUAUGUACAAAAACAUUCAACAGAAUUAUUUUUCUUUAUUCUGAUUAUUUAUAAAAUUAGAUAUUACAUUUUCGUUUUAACUAAACAAUGUAAACUUCAAAAAGUUAAAAAGCUGUUAAUUGAAGAAUUAAAUGUUUGAUAAGCAAUCUUAUUAAUAACUUAAAACUUCAUUUUUAGACAAAAAAGGAACUAGGAUGAAGAUUGUAACGGAUUUUCUUUUUUCAAUAUGCAUGGAACUACAGAGGAGAAAAAAGAAGAGGACAAACAUGAAUAAAUAGAAGUACAUCUAAAACUAUGCUUAGCGGUGAUGAGUUCAUCAUAUGUUUAUAAGCACAUCAUAUUUAAUACCAAAUUAAUUGAAUUUAAUGGAACAGUAACGAUGGAUAAAAAUGAAGUCGAGUAAAUAAAAGUGAUUCUUUGAUUCAAUAUUUUGUAUGUUUUGUCUAUGAAAAAGAAGAGAGAUAGCAUUAGAUUUGUCGUACUUUUGGAAAUAAUUUCUUGACUUUUUGACUGGUGAUAUAGGCCUUGCUUGUCGUUCGACUUUGCCAUAUUCGGACUACCAUUAAUCCAUUUACUGGCGAUCCUCGAAGACCGUGGUUCACGCGGAAUCUCUUUGCCUUGCCCCACACGCUUAUGCUCCUUUGAAAUUUCAAAACGUCGGUGAUGGCCAUGUACACCUGGGUCCACCCCUAUUCUUUCCAUUUUCGUAUUUCCCACCAUCUUCCGUCGGGGAUCUAAGAAGGCGCCCGAAAACGCGUAUUCGUCAUCCACUACCAUAUUCUUAUUGUGGAGUGACGGAUGGGAUGACCUAUUAUUUUAGAUUUUUUUAAAAGGUUAAUAUAAUAUUUCAUACUUUGAUUUCGCUCCCUUAUUCAAUUUUGUACCUGGUUUUUUAUUCUAUUUUCGUAUUUUCACACCAUCUUCUGUCGGCUGUCCAAGAAGGCAUGUCAAAUUGCGUAUUUGUCAUCCAUUACCAUGAAGUUGAGGUGUUCAUAGGCCGGGCCGGGUCGAGUUCGGGUCGGGCUUAACUAAAAAAUUAUGUUUAUUUAUUGGGAUCGGGCCAGGCCGGGUCCAAUAAAUAGGCUUAAAAUUUUGUUCAAGUCCGACCCGGAUAAAAAUAUUAAAAUUUGGGCUCGGCUCAGCCCGGCCGUAUUAAUUUUUUAUAUUAUUUUUAAAUAUAUAUAAUACAUCAAAAAUACAAAAUAAAUAUCAAAAUAAAUAUUUC
rnacentral:lncRNA from 1 species